CCUACGGGAGGCAGCAGUGGGGAAUAUUGCACAAUGGGCGCAAGCCUGAUGCAGCCAUGCCGCGUGUGUGAAGAAGGCCUUCGGGUUGUAAAGCACUUUCAGCGGGGAGGAAGGCGGUGAGGUUAAUAACCUCAUCGAUUGACGUUACCCGCAGAAGAAGCACCGGCUAACUCCGUGCCAGCAGCCGCGGUAAUACGGAGGGUGCAAGCGUUAAUCGGAAUUACUGGGCGUAAAGCGCACGCAGGCGGUCUGUCAAGUCGGAUGUGAAAUCCCCGGGCUCAACCUGGGAACUGCAUUCGAAACUGGCAGGCUAGAGUCUUGUAGAGGGGGGUAGAAUUCCAGGUGUAGCGGUGAAAUGCGUAGAGAUCUGGAGGAAUACCGGUGGCGAAGGCGACCCCCUGGACAAAGACUGACGCUCAGGUGCGAAAGCGUGGGGAGCAAACAGGAUUAGAUACCCGUGUAGUC
rnacentral:rRNA from 1 species